rnacentral:rRNA from 1 species
UACGGGGGGGGCAAGCGUUGUUCGGAAUUACUGGGCGUAAAGGGCUCGUAGGCGGCCAACUAAGUCAGACGUGAAAUCCCUCGGCUUAACCGGGGAACUGCGUCUGAUACUGGAUGGCUUGAGGUUGGGAGAGGGAUGCGGAAUUCCAGGUGUAGCGGUGAAAUGCGUAGAUAUCAAGAGGAACACCUGCGGCGAAGGCGGGUUGCUGGGCCGACACUGACGCUGAUGCGCGAAAGCUAGGGGAGCGAACGGG